UCUUGGUGGAGAAGCCCAAGGCGGGGUGGUAAGGGGGCUUUCUUCGAGAAAGAAGUGGAGGGCAGCCGUCUUCCUUCCUGGCCGUGGCGACCCGUGCCAGACACGUCCUAGCCUCGCCUUUACCCCCCGGCAAAGGGCACCUGCUCUUCGGGUCCGGACCUCGGAGGUCAGAAACCGGCAGCUGGAGGUUCCCAGAGACCCUCCACCGCGAAUCCGAAGCUCCAGCUUCAGCACCAGAGGCUGGACAGCGCCCGGACCCGAGAGAGCCCCGACUUCGCGGGCGCUAAAUUCUUCAGCCCCCACGCAGUGGAGGCCAGGAGUGACAAGUAAAAAAUCUGGAUGGAUGGAGAUGAUGACCCUCCAGUUCAGUGUAAGAGUAGAUACAUCACUUCCCAGGAAGGCUUGUGGCAGGUAGAUGAUGGUGAUCCCUGACACUGGGAUAAUCUCCAG